GAUCCUGGCUCAGGAUGAACGCUAGCGACAGGCUUAACACAUGCAAGUCGAGGGGAAACGGAUAUUGGAAGCUUGCUUCCGAUAGGCGUCGACCGGCGCACGGGUGAGUAACGCGUAUCCAACCUGCCCACCACUUGGGGAUAACCUUGCGAAAGUAAGACUAAUACCCAAUGAUAUCUCUAGAAGACAUCUGGAAGAGAUUAAAGAUUUAUCGGUGAUGGAUGGGGAUGCGUCUGAUUAG
rnacentral:rRNA from 1 species